ensembl:snRNA U6 U6 spliceosomal RNA
AUGCUCACUUCGACAGCACAUAUACUAGAAUUGAAAUGAUACAGAGAAGAUUAGCAUGUUCCUUGCGGAAGGAUGACACGCAAAUUUGUGAGGAAAUGAGCAUUUAU